rnacentral:rRNA from 1 species
UAAGGAAUAUUGGUCAAUGGACGCAAGUCUGAACCAGCCAUGCCGCGUGAAGGAUGAAGGUCCUCUGGAUUGUAAACUUCUUUUAUCUGGGACGAAAACGGGAUUUUUAUCUCAAUUGACGGUACCAGAGGAAUAAGCACCGGCUAACUCCGUGCCAGCAGCCGCGGUAAUACGGAGGGUGCGAGCGUUAUCCGGAUUUACUGGGUUUAAAGGGUGCGUAGGUGGGCUUAUAAGUCAGUGGUGAAAUCUCCGAGCUUAACUUGGAAACUGCCGUUGAUACUAUAGGUCUUGAAUUAUCUGGAGGUAAGCGGAAUAUGUCAUGUAGCGGUGAAAUGCUUAGAUAUGACAUAGAACACCAAUUGCGAAGGCAGCUUACUACAUAUAAAUUGACGCUGAGG